GUGCUUGCUUUGGCAGCACAUAUACUAACUUUGGAACAAUACAGAGAUUAGCAUGGUCCCUGUUCAAGGAUGACACUCAAAUUUGAGAAUCGUUCCAUAUAUAU